CCCGCAGAAAUGUGGACUAAUACCUUAUAUUUUCCACCAAGGGGCAUCGUCGAUGGAACAAAAGAUUUAUCGGUAUGGGGAUGGGGAUGCGUCCGAUUUAGGUUGUUGGCGGGGUAACGGCCCACCCAAGCCCUUCGAUCGGUAGGGGUUCUGAGAGGAAGGUCCCCCACAUAGGAACUGAGACACGGUCCUAACUCCUACGGGAGGCAGCAGUGAGGGAAUAUUGGUCAAUGGGCGUGAGCCUGAACCAGCCAAGUAGCGUGCAGGAAGACGGCCCUAUGGGUUGUAAACUGCUUUUAUGCGGGGAUAAAGGAGUCCACGUGUGGAUUUUUGCAGGUACCGCAUGAAUAAGGACCGGCUAAUUCCGUGCCAGCAGCCGCGGUAAU
rnacentral:rRNA from 1 species